GGUAGAAAACGGCUUUCACGUUCGCCCAGGGCUGUGGGAAGAGAGAGGGUCAGGUUGUUAGAAGGGCAGGCACGAUGUGAGCCGGGACGGAAGUGUCUCAUGUACCUAAAGGAUAAAAAAGAAGCCCUGGGAGGUAAAGUAGAAACCAGGAGGGCAAACAGCGGCCACUGUGUUAGCUGUUAAUUCAUUGCCCUGCAGCCCAGCACCUGCUCUGAGGCCUGUCAUUGACAGAACUAGCGUUCUCCUUCACGGUGAGUCCGAUCUGGGGCGUCAUCGGUAGAGGGCGCUAAAGAGACACUGCAGGAACAAGGGGGCCUUUCUCCAGGUUUCUCUCCCGGUGCCUGACCUCCAGCGGGGCACUCCUAACUUCAUCGGUGACGCUCUGUGCCAUCGGGACCCUCAGAGUGCAGAGCCCUUCUGCAAGCCCAGAGGCCCUGUCUGGACUGGGGGACCCCUUGCCUUCGCCCUUGUGAUGUGCAAGUUUCUUGCCUGCGGUGGAACCCUACCUCCUGACGGCUCUCCACACCAGCUGGCCGGCACCCUAGGACUUGUGACAGCCGUCCCCGUGUGAACACCGCACACCAGGCCUUAUGCCUCCUACUGAGCGGUAGUAGGUCCGGGGACACAGAUAUGGGUGGCUGGUAAGCUCGUGGAGUGACAGAAAAACCAUAUGGCCUUGUUGGAGUUAUGCAGCACAGAAGAAGCCUGAGAAAAUAGAAGCACUCCACAUCCUGCCCAGAAGGUCAAGGACGCACUUGGCAUCAUCGGCUUCACAUUCCGAAGAGGAAGACCCGCCCCUGAGAAUGCAAAGAAUGGUGUUUGAGUCUUGAUGAAGGCACUGCUGAGGGGCCUGAAUUUCCACCGGAGUGACACACUUUGAUGUUGUUCGGAUAUUGGAUAGAAUCUUUGUUGAUGUGGGCCAGUCACCUCACAUUCCACCAGAGCCAGGUUCUCUGAAAGCCGAGAAUUUAGCUUCUGAAUUCCAAUCCCAUGGAAUCCUCAAGAAUGGGCACCUAGCCGGUGGCUCCCACCUGUAAUCCUGGAGCUCGAGCGGCUGAGACAGAAGGCUCACCCAUAGUUUAAGCCCAGUUUAGGCUAUGUAGCAAGUUCCAGACGGACCUGGACAACUGUGAGAGACCCUGUCUCAAAACAACUGCACUCAGGAAAGCCGGCCCUGUUCCCUGCCUGGGCAGCACAGUGGAGCUGACCCCGUUGGCAGAGGGGUGGGUGAGCCAGCCAAGGUGUUGGAGCAUGGGAGACCUGUCCCUAUUACUCUUCUGUCACGUGGCAGCAUGGGUGGGGAGAGAUGCCCUCCCCCCAUCCAUCAACGUCUGAGGCAAGAAGAGCAGGAGAGCUCGAUGGUCUCUGGAGAGUGGUCCCUGCCUCACACCUGGACAACACAGCAGAUCUGGCCCUGAAGGUGUAGGGAAGUUCAGACCCUGAAGAUAUAAGAGUAGGAGAGCUGGCCCUGUGCCUUCUCAUGGCUACAAGAGGUGAACUCACCAGGGCAAUGAAGGAGAGCUCACCCUGGUGGUGAGGACAAGGGAGAAUGGGCAGGCUGACCAACCCUGAAACUACCCAGAGCCAGAACCAGGCUUAUGGGUUGGCCCAUCCCAGUGUCCACCCCAUCUGUGAUCUGCUGGAACAUGUGAAGGGUCAGGUCCCACGGACCCAAAACUACAGGAUCUCCACAACACAGGGCAACGAGCAGGAUAACCAAGAAGGAACCUUCCAUGUGAACACAUCCAUCUGCCACAUUCCCAGUGCUUCAGGCUGGGGGUAUAGUUCAGAAGUAGAGUGAUUGCCUAACAUGUACAAAAAUGUGCAAAGUCCCUGUCUUAGCUAGGUUUUCAAUUGCUGUGAAGAAACACCAUGACCAUAACAACUCUUAUAAAUGAAAACAUUUCUUUGAGGGGCUGGCUUACAGUUUCAGAGGUUCAGUCCAUUAUUAUCAUGGUGG